ACAUCUCAACUCCUCACGGUUUGCCCGUGAUGAGCUUGGACUUUGGGGGUCUUGCUGGCCUGUGGGUCGGCUCCUCUCAAACAAAUCAGCUUGCCAGUGUUUGGUGGCGUCACAGGUGUGAUAACUAUCUACACUUGUGGUUUUCUGCCAGGUAACCUCCAGCAAUGGGGGUUCACUGGAGCUCACAAAUGUCUCUCCUCGGUGAGGACAGCUCUUUGAAC
rnacentral:misc_RNA from 1 species